AUUGAACGCUGGCGGCAGGCCUAACACAUGCAAGUCGAGCGGAGCGGCGGACGGGUGAGUAAUGCCUAGGAAUCUGCCUGGUAGUGGGGGAUAACGUCCGGAAACGGGCGCUAAUACCGCAUACUAUAACAUACCCUUAGGUCGGAUUAUCAGGUGGGUGGGUAAAAGGCCUACCAGGCCUACGUUCCGAAACUGGUCGGAGGGGAUGAUCAGUCACACUGGAACUGAGACACGGUCCAGACUCCUACGGGAGGCAGCAGUGGGGAAUGUUGGAUAAUGGGCGAAAGCCUGAUCCAGCCAUGCCGCGUGUGUGAAGAAGGUCUUCGGAUUGUAAAGCACUUUAAGUUGGGAGGCGUUACCAACAGAAUAAGCACCGGCUAACUUCGUGCCAGCAGCCGCGGUAAUAC
rnacentral:rRNA from 1 species